rnacentral:rRNA from 1 species
GAUGAACGCUAGCUACAGGCUUAACACAUGCAAGUCGCGGGGCAGCAUGGGGGUUGCUUGCAAUCCCCGAUGGCGACCGGCGCACGGGUGAGUAACGCGUAUCCAACCUGCCCUUCACCACGGGAUAACCCGGCGAAAGUCGGACUAAUACCGUAUGUUGUCCAUUGACGGCAUCCGAUUUGGACGAAAGGCUUGGCGGUGAGGGAUGGGGAUGCGUACGAUUAGCCAGACGGCGGGGUAACGGCCCACCGUGGCUACGAUCGGUAGGGGUUCUGAGAGGAAGGUCCCCCACACUGGAACUGAGACACGGUCCAGACUCCUACGGGAGGCAGCAGUGAGGAAUAUUGGUCAAUGGGCGUAAGCCUGAACCAGCCAAGUAGCGUGCAGGAUGACGGCCCUAUGGGUUGUAAACUGCUUUUAUGCGGGGAUAAAGUGGCCCACGUGUGGGCUUUUGCAGGUACCGCAUGAAUAAGGACCGGCUAAUUCCGUG